rnacentral:misc_RNA from 1 species
AAUGCACCUUGCACCCUUUGGUAUUCCGAAGGGUAUGCCUGUUUGAGUGUCAUUAAAUUCUCAACUUCAAAAACAUUUUUGUUAAUGUUAUUGAAGCUUGGAUUAUGGAGGUCUAUUUGCCGGCGUCAUUGUCAGCUCCUCUUAAAUGCAUUAGUGGAACUUUGGAAAGGACCAGCAUUGGUUUGAUAAAAUCUCUAUCUAGCCAAGGAUUGCUGUGGACUUGAUUGUGUUCUGCUUCUAAUGGUCCUUUUGGACUGUCUCUGAUGAGGCAUAGAAAAAUUUAUUUAAGCUUGACCUCAAAUCAGGUAGGACUACCCGCUGAACUUAA